CCGCAGGCUCUCGGCGCUGCUGCGCUCCUUCGACAGGCUCAGCUCCUCCUGGUAUUUGGAGUUCUGCUGUUUCAAAGUGUCGAGCUGAAGAGGAGACCAAAGUGGAGGAAGAGAGAAUUCGUUAACUUUGGUGGCAACAUCCCCACUGACUUAGAUUGCUUUCUAUGGUGGGGAGGGCAUGAUGCAACUAUUACACUUAUGGGGCAAAGAAAGUUUCUACGACUGUUAAUACCUCUGUGGAAGUAAUGGACCGCCUCUCCUGCUCAGAGAGAAAAGAGCAGCAAGCUAGUGCGAAGCAAGCACAUUUAUCAGUGUUGGCACUUUUCCCACUGAAUUCACAUACUUUAAGAAUUUUCAAGGAAAACGUUCUGCUUCUUGACUGAGGCUCCAAACACAUCAACAGUCACUCCUGACGAGACACGUGCAGCGCAGCAUCAUCCACAGCGCUAUGAGGACAUCAAUAAUUAAUUAAAAGCUUCAACAAAAAAAAAAAAAAAUCAAUGUACAAAAAAAAAAAGAAAAUAUGAAGAAGUCGACACGCCAGACCUCUACUGUAUGUUACACUUCAUCAAAUUAUUAAGUGUGACAUCAACUGUGCAGGGGGAGUUUCACGCUGCUCAUUGCUUCUGUGUUUAUCUGCACAUUCAACCUGCCAUCUGCUCAACACGCCGAACUCCUCAACAUAAAUAAUUACAUGCAAACUUGGGGACAAGUGUGCAGUAAAAAAAGCAACCCGGCUCUCUAAGGGCCGGGUUGUGUUUGAAAAUGAGGCGUUUGAGGCAACAACCACUCGUCCUACCUGGUAAUGAUUUGAGUAGAUGUUGCUGGAGAAGCCCUGAUGCAGAGCAGCAAUGUCCAUACCUAGGCUGCUGGAUUUUUAAAAUUUUUAUUUUUUUUCCCAAGCCAAGUCCAAGCAGCGGCUUGUUUUUUGUCGCCCGGUUGCCUCCGCUCUUGUUCUGCCCGUUUCACGCGCCGCCGAACAGAAGCUGAGCAUCAACAAAGCAUCAGUACUCGUCUCCCCGCCGUGCGCAGCUGCAGGAGGGAAACAGAGAGAGCAUGCUGCCUGCUCUGCCUCUCUCUCUCCCUCUCUUCUUCUCUCUCUCUAAGGGUCGGGUUGAACAAGCAGAUCACUUACAUAAUGUAAGCCUGCAGAAGCUCCUCCCACUUCUUAUCCCCGCCUCCUGGCAGCUCACUUUGAGAUGCUCCUAUCGUACACACACACACACACACACGCACGCAUGCACACACGCACACACACCUCUUCACAAACCUUUGCUUACCAUUCACAGGGCAUCGUAGCACCUAAUGUCUCCAUUUUCUGUGUACUCCUCUGUUUUCAAUAAAGGUGCUUUUGAUUCAUGA